CGUUCUAUGGCCGAAUUGGUAAAGGCAUCGCCGAUCACAGGCGAGAUUGCGGGUUCGAGUCCCGCUGGAACGG
rfam:Operophtera brumata OBRT01_Sc04382, whole genome shotgun sequence.